UUUAAACUUAUCCAAAGUUGUUAUUCAGAACGGCAACCAUUUUUUAAAUAUACUUUUUGACUCACAUUUUUGUUCACACACUUUUCAUCAGCUGCUCAGAAACGAUACCGAUUUUACUAAAGUAUAUAUUUUUUCUUCCAACAUAAAUGUCUAUUUGUUGCCCAAAAUAAUAAAAGAAAUGGAAGAAAUUCAUAAAGAAAUGGGACACACCCUAAACAUAAUAUGGACCCAUUCCCCUGCAGCAUCCAGGUUUAAUGGGUCCUAAAACUCUAACGGAAGGUGAUGAAGGCCAUUCUGUCCAUAUGGGCAUGUCUCUGCCUUCAGGUCAGACAGUUUCAGCUUCAUCAAUGAAAGCCACACUCAUGCAGUUUAUUCUUCAAUGAAGGGUGAUUGCGGGUGCCAAUUAACACCAUUUAUUAUUGUAAAAUACAGAUUUUUUCUUCCUUUUUUUCCCCCAGUGGUUCUUUUAAAAUCAUUUUUGAUUUAAAACUCCACUUUGAAAUUGCAAUGAAGAAUAAUGCUAAAUCGACUCUCAAGGACCCCUGGUAUAGUCCAUGUGGGGCUGCUUCACUCCACGUUGAUUUAUUUGUACGACAACAAAUGAUAAUUAUUUGCUUAUGCAUGAAGAAGUGACUGAACAUGCAUUACCAUGACCGCAUCAUUACCCAUUAUCAUUUUACUAAGUUGUAUUUCUUCUGCAUGUCUUCCAUGUCUUACUUUCUGUCAUGCCAAAGAGGGUUCCAUUGUUUAGCCCACAAUUCCACGCAUUAUAGAGUGGAACACCCUGCUAAACAGAUAUGGCGAAAAGGAAGUGACCCAUGUGCGGUUACUCGGUGUUAUAGAUACCCAUUAAAAACUUAUAGUUAAUCAGAAUUUGGAGCUGAACUAAUAAAAUGUGCAAAACUAAUGUAUAGCAAUAUUUUACUCUUGCUUUAAAUAAUGAAUAUUACAUUGUUUUGGGUAAAUUUGGAUCUAUAAUUUCAGGCAAUACAUAUUUUUCAAAUGAUGUGAUUUUGGGACUCUUUUCACACCAGUUUGGUCUUCCUUGUAGAAUGCGUUUUUUGUAACCUCGCAACACAACAUUGCUGAUCAUGGGACCAUUGCAGUGUCACCAGAUGGGUCAUCCGUGUGAGUUCCGUGACGGAAAAAGCGCAUUUUUCACUGAGUCCAUCCUUAUCCUUGUUAGUUUAACCUACUUAGUUGUUUAUUUUGGUCGAUUUCAGCAUAUCCUUUGAGCAGCUGAUUGUAACGUAGGAUAUUGUACAAUAAACAACCAUAUUAGCUUAACAGAGUUGAGGGAGUUAGAGAGCUUGGUCUGGCCUCUCAGAGCCUGUGAAGAAAUGGUUUUGAUCUUACCACAGGCUAAACACUGCCAACAGGACUUGACAUUGCUGAACAAUUUCCCAAUUACCUUUUGACAUGCAUAUUGACACAAACGCGCAAAACUGUAAUUUUCCCUCUGAAUUUGUUAGCUUGAGGGGCUCACUUUCAUGCCAGAUUGUCAGAUGUGCUGCUCUCUCUCCCUCUGUGUCUCACACUCACUAUCUCUCUCUCUCUCUCUCUCUCUCUCUCUUUCCCAGUUUGCUUACAUGUGAGUGUCCAGAAACAGGAUUCCCCACGGACAGCCGGAAAAUGGAAAAGACCGUUUCCAUAAUGGAGAGAAAAGUUCUGGCCAAACUCAACAUGCCAGUUGACACUGAAAUGCCAUAAUCACUGGGAUGUUUUCCUGCGUUUGAGACGUCCAGGCAGCAAAGAGAAGGGAGAGGACGAUGGCGGUGUCAUCACGAGCUUGUCAUCGUGUUCGGCCUGAGUGGCACAUGCUCGGCCAGAUUACAGGAGCUGGUGUUGAUGGAGGCUCACCCUCAAUCUCCCAGCCGUCUGCUAUCAGGAACCCCCCCCCCCACAUCCCCCCCCCGAAAAACUGGGUCAGACCCGGGCUUGGCUCUGCCCCGAGCUCCUUCGAACCCAGUGCCGACUAACUAAGAGGAGGAACAAGCCACGGGGCCUCGGAGGGGGCCCAAAGUCCAAGCUGCAUCUCCACAGUCCCCACGUUCUCCUUUACAGAAAUGGAUUCAUAUAUUUUGCUUUCUUAAAUGCAGAUCGGAUAAUUGAUUUGUUGAUAUUCAGUCCAGGCAGCAGACAUUGGGUGAGAACAGCCGUUUGUUCUGCAUACAUUUAACACACAGUUGUUUCUCCUUAAUAAAUGAACUCUCGCUGUGUUUUUUCAUGCAAUAUUGUCGUGUUUAGCCCCCGACCCUCGCGAUAAGGGCCACGCAUCCCUGGUUGGUUUCCACUCUACAUUUACAAACAUCACAAUAGGUUGUCGCCACAUUGUACACGAAUGUGAAGAAAACCGUUGACAUAUGGGUUAAUUUACUUUGAACUGCCGAUGUUCAAAGCACACGGUCGGUUUGACGAACAGUUCAUGACCAGCCAAACU